UACGAAGGGGGCUAGCGUUGCUCGGAUUUACUGGGCGUAAAGGGCGCGUAGGCGGGCAGUUAAGUCGGGGGUGAAAGCCCGGGGCUCAACCUCGGAAUUGCCUUCGAUACUGGCUGUCUUGAGUACGGGAGAGGUGUGUGGAACUCCGAGUGUAGAGGUGAAAUUCGUAGAUAUUGGGAAGAACACCGGUGGCGAAGGCGGCUCACUGGCCCGUUACUGACGCUCAGGCGCGACAGCGUGGGGAUCAAACAGG
rnacentral:rRNA from 1 species